CAAAACGCAACACAUUUUCGCGAAUUACCAGCAACGAUGGUGUCGCAUAAUUCAGAAGGUUGUUGAUUGCAUUGAAGAUGUGUGCAUGCACAUUCCCACAUUGAAAAGGGGGAUAUUUUUCUGAAAUAUGAAGGGACGUUAACAAGGAAGGAGAUGAUUGGGGAUAACACGUGUUUGAAUUCGGAUUCAAGGGGGAAAAGUGUUGGUAUGUAUAAAUCUUGAGCAGAAAUACUGUGUUUUUCUGUACACCCCGUAUGGACAACAUGUUAAAAUAAUUGCUGAGUGUGAAACUUUAAAUAAGGGCUGCAACAAUAUUCCAAUAUCUUCUUACAUGUAUAUGUAAUUGCAAUAUUCUUUUUCUGUAGUGUAUUAAUAUAUGUUAUUCUGUCAUAGAAAUAUACUAAUUCGUAUACCAUACUGUAAUAAUCCAUUAUAUAUUACAACAAAAUAUUGUUAUGUGAUGGUAAUUGUUACUUAAAAAUGAGCUUUUAUUACUAUGGAUAAUUUUGAUUUGCUGAUUUUGCUUCAGAAUUGAAUAUAAUGACAAAUAUAUAUGUUUAUUAUAUGCUCACAAACGAAGUUUAGGUGGGAUAUCAGGCCAGGGCUUAACACUAAGGCACGUUCGAACGACAUUCACUGCCUGAACCUAGGUCCGGGCUAGCCAAUGUCCCAGUAACAUGCCUGACCGGUUGUGUGUAUUUUGGGCGGGAUUAUGUGUUCUAUAUCAAUAAACUGCGUUUUAAAUAAGCAAUUGAAAGAUGCAAAAAUCUUAAUACAGUAUGAUCAGAUGACAAUUAAAUCCGAGAGUGAAGUCGGAGACUACAAACAGAUCGUAACUUGAAAUAGAUUUGGAACCCCCUGAUUGCAAUCAAAAAGAGGCCGACAAUUCAGAAAAUCCCCGGCGGUUUUCCUGGUAAAACACGUCAGUACCUAUUUUUAAAUGGAAUUCCGCUAGAUACGGUUUCGAUUGGUUUCCUCGAAGUGACGUGAUUUCUCGAUAAAAAUACGUUUUAAACUAAAAGCCGGGAUCGCCCAGGAUUGUCCGGGAUCGAUGAAGGUGUAAAACUCGACAUUAACACAAAUUUAAUAUAAAAUUAUUAUUUAUUUAUCAGUUUUAAAUAAUUUUCAUUUGUUUGAUUGAUGAGAAGUGUUAUGACAAUCUUUUUUUAUACGCAAUUCAAUUAGUAAAAUUAAUAUUAAUGGCCGAUCCCGGCUUUUAGUAGAGAGUUAACCUUGUACAAUUGUUAUUUGUUAUUUUGCGACACCUAAGAUUCACUUACCGUUUGUUGUCAGACGGCAACCGCGGCAAUCUAUGCAAAAAGGUUUUAACGUUAAUGUUGUUGUUUAAGUUUGGCUUUACGGGUGGGGAUGGGGGUUCCUCGGAUAAGAAAAGAAAAGGGAAGGAGGAAAGUAAAAGAAAGUAUGAGGAAAAAAACAACAAGGAAAUUUCUCCCGAAAUGGCGUGAAGAUUACAAAUAGAUGUCUUAAGCAGAUGGAUAUUGAAUUCAUUAGCAUUAGAAAGGCAAGCUAAUAAGAAUGAUUGAAUCAUAAUUGCGCAUCGCCACGCACAAGAAAAUACAAGUUAACUGAUAAAUAUAAAGGUUUUGAUAAUAUUUUGGUCGGGGCACAUGAAAGAUUGGUCAGGGCUAGUAGGUUCUGCAUUUACUAGCCCGAAUGGGCUAGUUGAAAAAAAGUUAGUGUUAAGCCCUGCAAGGCAUUUCAGACGCUUUAAGCAUCAGGGAACCCUUGGGCCCUAAUCUUUAAUUAAUUAAAGCAUUAACUAUGCUCUCCAACUUUUGUUGCUGUGAUUCUUCAACAUGUAUUUAAAGUCAUAGACACCGUGAAAUAAAAAAGUUCAACAGCUUUUCAAAGAAUGUUAAGUUUUAGUUUAUUUGUUCAAUAAUUGCACGUAUUGUCUUACUUACUGUAAGAUUUGAUUGAGUACUGAAAAUUGAAAAAGUUCAAAGGUUUAUAUAUUGUUUAAAUAUAUAUAUAAGCCAAUUUCAUGACUUACAUAGUGUGUGUGCCACUGUAGUGACUUGCAUAGUUUGCAUGUCAAUGUAGUAACUUCUAUAGUUUUAUGGCAGUGUAGUGACUUGCCUAGUGUCAUGCCAAUUACAUGACGUGCAUAGUGUAUAUGCAACUUUAGUGACGUGCGUAGUUUUUAUGCCAAUGUUAAUACUUCCAUAGUUUUAUGCCAGUGUUGUGACUUGCCUAGUGUGUAUGCCAAUUAAUGACUUACAUAGUGUGUCUGCCACUGUAGUGACUUGCAUAGUAUUUAUGCCAUUGUAGUAACUUCCAUAGCUUUAUGCCAGUGUAGUGACUUGCCUAGUGUGUAUGCCAAUUUCAUGACUUACAUAGUAUGUGUGCCACUGUAGUGACUUGAAUAGUUUGUUUGCCAAUUUAGUAACUUCCAUACAUUUUAUGCCAGUGUAGUGACUUGCCUAUUGUGCAUGCAAAUUUCAUGAAUGACAUAGUAUGUGCGCCACUGUAGUGACUUGCAUAGUUUGUAUGCCAAUCAAGUAACUUUAGUGACUUGCAUAGUUUUUAUGUCCAUUUUUUUCUUUCAUAGUUUCAUGUCAGUAUAGUAACUUGCCUAGUGUGUAUGCCAAUUUCAGGAAUUAUAUAUGAGUGUGUGACAAUGUAGUGACUUGCAUAGUUUGUAUGCCAAUGAAGUACAUGUAACUAGUUUAGUUUGUAUGCCAGUGUAGUAACUUGCCUAGUGUGUAUGCCAAUUUCAUGACUUAUAUAGAGUGUGUGCCACUGUAGUGGCUUGCAUAGUUUGUAUGCCAAUGAAGUACAUGUAACAAAUUUAGUUUGUAUGCCAGUGUAGUGACUUGCCUAGUGUGUAUGCCAAUUUCCUGACUUACAUAGUGUGUGUGCCACUGUAGUGGAUUGCUUAGUUUGUAUGCCAAUGAAGUAACUAACUGAGUUUGUAUGCCAGUGUAGUGUCUCGCCUAGUGUGUAUGCCAAUUUCAUGAAUUACAUACUUUGUGUGCCACUGAAGUGACUUGCAUUGUUUGUAUUCUUAACCCUACUUUUGUAUAUGUAGUAAUUCCAUAGUUUUUUAUGCCAGUGUAGUGCAGUCAAAUCCAAACUAGGCAUAUUUUUACAGGUGAGGACAGUAGGUCCUGUAAAAUGGGAAAAAAUAAAGGACCUUCGGUUUUUUACAGGACCUACCGGCUACAGAAUAUAAAGUAAAAUAACUUCAUUGCUGGGAUCAAGGUGUUUAUGAUAUAAGAACAUUUGCCAAAACGAAAGUAGCCGAUACUUGUUUACCUAAGCUACGCUUAGAGCGCAUGUCAGAUAGGAGUCUGGUCAAUACGGCCUUAACAGACGACGGCCUCGAUAAAUGACAACCAGCUUUUUUGCACGCAUAGACAUUGACAGCCAAGAUAAUAACGGUUCGAAUGACAAUGAUCAUUAUUAUACAUUACUAUUGCUAUAACAAUCACACAUAUUGAUACCUGUAUCAUUUAAUCAGGCUUUCUACUGGUCCCUACUUUUCCCUACUUUUUUCAAAAAUCGCCCUAUUAUCCCUACUUUUUCAUUUUGCAAGUAAAUUAAAUAAAAUGUGAAAUGAAGGCUUUCAUGUUUCUUCUUUAGAUAUUUUCAGAAUUUCCAUCCAUUAUGAAUCUUUUGUAAUGAGUACAGUUCAGAUGUGUUUGGAGGAUCACCUUGUGAUGUCCAUCCUUGAAAGCACCAUGGUUCCUUGGCUAGUCAGUACAGACAUACUGGUUUUUAGGUGCCUGUAUUUCAAGGAUGGGUAGAACAAGGCAUUCUUACAGCAUCAGAUGGACUCUAAGGAUAGCCCUACUUUUUAACAGUUUGAUGGAGCUACAGAACUUGGCAGUUUUGGAAGACUUGUAAAUGACUCCACCAACCCCAAUUGCAAAGUGCAGUGCUUUGAGGAGGAGGGUCUACCCAGCUUGUUUUUCGUUUCCCUCCCUGCCAUUCUGCCACUGGUCAGACGCUACAGGUGACUGUGCCAGCAUCAUCUCUAGUGCAGAGAAGAAGUUGUGUAUAAUUAUGGUGCAGGACCAUAUCCAUGGGGGAAAAAGUUCUAAAAGCUGUGACGUUAUAGUAUCCAAGCCAGUCGUGAGACCAGUCCAUUGCCUACUUGAAGUUAACAACAGAAAUCGUUCCCCUCUCAUCAUUCUGUUUAUACAAGAAAUGCAGUUAUAAGGUUAGUACUCAAUUCUAAUUUGAUAAUCACUUUAAAAAAAUCAAAUCAUUGGCAUAAAACUUCCUGAAAUAUUAGAUUGUUGUUUUAUAUUAACUUAGUCUUUAAAUAAAGUGUUAUACUUAAUUGACCUAAAAUGCUCUGUAUUUGUAGUAUUUGCUACUAGUAAUUCUUAUCUACUGGUUUCAUUUUCUGUCCUUUUGGGGGACCUUUUAACUUGCUUUCUUCAUGAAAUUACAUUGUUAUAUUUAUCAAUGCUUAAAUGUUAUGGUGGCUCCCAAAGUGAUAACUCAUGACAAUGUAGGCUCUAGUGGCUUGAGUGUUUGUACACACACUCUACAUGCAAGUCACUACACAGUACUCACUCUGCAAGUCAGUACACACUAUGCAAGUCACUACACAGUACUCGCUAUGCAACAAGUCAGUACACACUAUGCAAGUCACUACACAGUACUCGCUAUGCAACAAGUCAGUACACACUAUGCAAGUCACUACACAGUACUCGCUAUGCAACAAGUCAGUACACACUAUGCAAGUCACUACACAGUACUCGCUAUGCAACAAGUCAGUACACACUAUGCAAGUCACUACACAGUACUCGCUAUGCAACAAGCCAGUACACACUAUGCAAGUCACUACACAGUACUCGCUAUGCAACAAGCCAGUACACACUAUGCAAGUCACUACACAGUACUCGCUAUGCAACAAGCCAGUACACACUAUGCAAGUCACUACACAGUACUCGCUAUGCAACAAGCCAGUACACACAAUACAAGUCACUACACAGUACUUACUAUGCAAGCCAGUACACACUAUUCAAGUCAUUACAUAGUACUCACUAUGCAACAAGCCAGUACACACUAUACAAGUCACUACACAGUACAUGUACACACUAUGCAAGCCAGUACACACUAUGCAAGUCACUACACAGUACUCACUAUGCAACAAGCCAGUACACACUAUACAAGUCACUACACAGUACUCACUAUGCAACAAGCCAGUACACACUAUACAAGUCACUACACAGUACUCACUAUGCAAGCUAUUACAGCAUAAUGAAUUAAUUGUACAUCUAUACAAUUUUCAAGCUCUUCAUUAAGUUCAUGAGUAUUUAUUUGUAUUUUUUAUGUGUUUUAAUAAUGAUUGUUUAAACCUUGAGGACAAGUUUGCUUUAUACACUGAUGUUUGAGCUUGGGAAAAGCCACUUGACUCCAAUACGCAGCUCAGGCAGUCUGCAAUACUCAAAGAAGUGAGGACUUUGAGUUUCUUACCGAUGCAACUGUACCAACACAUGUAAAUAAAUUUGCAACACGCUGCUAGGUUAUCUGUUGUGAUUUUCAUGUGAUUGAACAAUAAUCAAUUAACAUAAAAAAGGCAUUUAAUUGUUUCUAUAACAAAAAUGUGUUGUGUAAAAAGGUCAGUUGCCCUGGAGAUGGAAACCUCUGACCCACACGAGAUCCUGAUCCAGAGCAGAUCUAAAGGGGAGCCCUUAUGUUUUCAUGUGCAGUGCUCUUGGAAAGUGCAGCGAGUUGACCUUUCUGGAACAGGUGCUCACCCUUCAGUUGGCUCAAUUGGUAGAGCCAAAGUCACUGCCAGGGCUCAUGAAAAGGACAGACGCCCUGGAGAUGGGAACCACUGACUCACAUGAUCAGUUUCCCAUCUUGAGCAGCACUAAAGGCAACCUCAUUAAAGCCUACUUUCUGAAAUACAUCAGUGUGCAGAGCUUAUACGUCAAGUUGAAGACUUACUAUUCAUCUCAUGGACAGUGAUAAAAUAUUGAAACAAAACCGUAUUAUGACUGAAAAAUCUAAACAAAAACAAAAUAUGUUGUUGCCUUAUACCAGUGUCAUGGCACACUGGUCGCUUUACUAUAUGCUGCAAUAAAUUGCUUCUUUUUAAGGAUGAGGCUUUGUUGACUGCUUUAAUAAAUAUAUAAUGUAAAAUUACCUGCUCAACUAUGAAAUUAUGUGAAUUAAAUAUUGUGUACAACUACUGUUGGCCUCAUUAAAAAACUCAAUAUGAAGCUUCAUUUCUAAAUAUUUUCGCAAAAAUUAUGUCCCGGUUCUAAUCAGUGACUUCUUUGAUUAGCUAAUGUUUAACGUCUGUUCAGUUUAGUUGCUUUUUUGAUCAAGUAAGUUAUUUAGCAAAUACUGUUCUACUCAUUUUGCUUAGAAUAAAGUUACUGUUAAAAAUGAAUCAGAUAUCUUAGAUGAACAAUGUCUUAUGUUGUUUUUUUUUAAUUAAAAUCUCUUGUCAUAAGUAUAGUUUUCAAAAUUUCAUAUGUAUUGCGCACAAUGUUUGUUCAUUCGAAUUCAAGUGAUUCAACAGUAUAUAAAUUAAUAUUUAAUAAAAACAGCUUUAGUUGAAUAUUUAUGCCGCCCUUCGAAGAAGAGGGGGUAUAUUGCUUUGCUCAUGUCGGUAGGUCUGUCGGUCCGUCCACCAGGUGGUUGUCAGACGAUAAUUCAAGAACGCUUGGGCCUAGGAUCAAGAAACUUCAUAGGUACAUUGAUCAUGACUCGCAGAUGACCCCUAGCGAUUUUGAGGUCACUAGGUCAAAGGUCAAGGUCACUUUGACCAGAAAUAGUAAAAUGGUUUUUGAAUGAUAACUCAAGAACGCAUACGCCUAGGAUCAUGAAACUUUAUGGGUAGAUUGAUCAUGACUUGCAGAUGACCCCUAUUGAUUUUGAGGUCACUAGAUCAAAGGUCAAGGUCACGGUGACCCGAAAUAGUAAAAUGGUUUCCGGAUGAUAACUCAAGAACGCAUACGCCUAGGAUCAUGAAACUUCAUGGGUAGAUUGAUCAUGACUCGCAGAUGACCCCUAUUGAUUUUGAGGUCACUAGGUCAAAGGUCAAGGUCACGGUGACCCGAAAUAGUAAAAUGGUUUUCGGAUGAUAACUCAAGAACGCAUACGCCUAGGAUCAUGAAACUUCAUAGGUAGAUUGAUCAUGACUUGCAGAUGACCCCUAUUGAUUUUGAGGUCACAAGGUCAAAGGUCAAGGUCACGGUGACCCGAAAUAGUAAAAUGAUUUUCGGAUGAUAACUCAAAAACGCUUUUGCCUAGGAUCAUGACACUUCAUAGGUACAUUGAUCGUGACUCGCAGAUGACCCCUAUUGAUUUUCAGGUCACUAGGUCAAAGGUCAAGGUCACAGUGACAAAAAUCGUAUUCACACAAUGGCUGCCACUACAACGGACAGCCCAUAUGGGGGACAUGCAUGUUUUACAAACAGCCCUUGUUAUUGAUGUUUUGGCUAUUCGGCCUUUUUUACACUUACACAUUAUUUCUAUACAAUUGCUUAUAGAAUUGAAUUACAGAUUGAUAUUAUUUGACUAAUUUUACAAUUAUUGCAUUCUACUGAUUAAUAUACACAAUCGAAUAAUUUACAUGUAACUGAAAAUCAAGAAUAAAUACAGUUACUAAUU